GAAAACAUCCUAUCUUACCUUCUCCACCUCUCUGUUCUCUUCAUUUUUGGUUCCCUAUAUGGGGAAAUUCCAUCUGCUGAGCUCAAGACGUGAUCCAUAAACCAUAACAGCACCUGUCCCCACUCCAAUUGUGCUUGAUUAUCUUCCAGAGGAGCUUUCUGAAAGAAUCUUUUUCUAAACCCAGGCCUAACCCUUCCAUUUGAGAAUCCCAGGGCAAGAGCUCUUGUGGAGUCCCACAGAUCACUGUGCCAUCGGUAUUGUGUAUGUGUCUUUCCUGGUAAAAUGUCAAGUUUGUGUUUUCCUGAUGUAUUUGUAAGAUCAUCUGAGGUACCAAGACAGGAGAUAUUGGCCCCCAAUUGAUGAGACAGCUGAGGUUCAGUGAGGUCUAGUUGUGGAGGGCGCAGCUCACUGGCCCAUGUGGGAAUUGAACUGGCGACCUGUGUAUUACAAGCACUGCGCUCUAACCGACUGGGAGCCAACCGGCCGCCCCAAACCCUACACUUUAAUACACUGACCUCCGGGCGUGUGUCCAAAGCAGAUCAAGAGAACCAACGGACAAGGGUAAGGAACAGAUUCAGGAGCUGGCUGUUGGAUGUCCUGGAAAGAGGCCUGGCUUGGCCUCAGAUGAUGGGGCAGAAAUCCCAGCUGCUUCCCUCACUAAGGUGUGACCCUGGACCAGUAACAGCACAGAAAUGGGACUUAUGGAGGACAAUUAGCAGGGUUUUCACAGUAGAACAACUGGUGCUUUGUUUCAAAGAUAUUGGUGGUGUGGCCAAGGCUUGGGCAUUCUGAACCUUUUCCAACUUCUAUCACCCUUUGAAAAUCUUUGCCUGAACUUAGGAUCCCCUGAGAAACUCCCUUCUCUUGGGAAAGGUGACUCAGAGAUGAGGGCUUUUUAAAUGACUCACAACUGCCUUUGUGGUUUUGAUGUUUAAGAAUGAGACUUGGCGUUGAGGAUGGACCCAGGCCUGGCUGUGAAGGGAGGUUCUGAUGGAUUCCUUGGUGUGAAACCUCCCAGACCAUUGAAAC